GCCCACCCCCGCCCCGCCCUGAUCAUUCAGCAGAGCGCAGCCUUCAGAAGUGGAGCCCAUUCUAAUGCAUGCAGAGAUAAGAACUUCAUUUUACUCCCCGUCUUUUCUAUUUGUGCUGCGGGAGGGGCGUAGAAGAGGAGGGGGUGGCUGCUUUGUCAAAGUUUUUGUCUGUGGUGACAUUUCUUGGGUUGUCAUCAGCACCAGUUGUUGGGGGAAAGAAAGGCAACAGUUUUCCCUGUAGAUUCAAGCCCCAACCGCUUAGGUCAGAGGCAGAAAUGCUGUUUUGCAGACACCAGAAAUCUGAUGAACUGCAUAAAACCUUUGCCUUUAUGGCCAGUCGCCGUGGUAUGAAAGGAAUGGUGCACCGUAGAAUUUUGGGGACAUUGGGAUGUGCUAAUGGUAGAUUGCUGUCUUUUUGGUUGAUAUAGUGUAGGAGAUGUUUUGUUAUUGGAGCAAGGAGUAAGCAGGGAGAGAUGAUGAAGGCAUGAACUUCUUCAAGCUUUGGCAAUUUACUCCUAAAUUAACUUAAGCAGUAAAAGUGUCUCACUUCUGUUCUGUCAGUGUUCCUAUUGUUGUUGCUUAGUGGGGAUUCAAGCUUCUUUGCUUUUCCUUCAAGGUGUGGAGAAAGUGGACAGAGGCAUGCCUACCUUCCAAACUUGUAAUAUUAGAACUUGUGGGUCAUUGAAUGAAAUUUAAUGAUCAGAGAUUAGGAACAAAUUUAAAAACUUAUUCAUACAAGGAAUAGUUCUUAUGAAACUCACUGUCACAAGAUAUGAUGGCCACUUGCUGAAAGAAUAAGUAGAGAAAAACAUGUAGGCAAGAUUUAAAAAUGGACUCAACGGCACAACCUUACCUUAAUAAAGAAUGAAAACAAUUUCAUAACAUUCUCUCCCCACCCCUUCCCCAUUUUGCUGAGAUGCCUUUAAAAAUAUUAUAGCUAGAUUGGAUAGGUCUCUCAGUGGUGAUUAAUGAUAACAUAUAUAAACCUCCACGUUCAAAGACAGUAGGUAUGCCACAGAACACCAGUUGUGCUGAGCAACUGAGAACACACGGCAGCAGGCAGCUGCCUCCUGCAGGGCCAGGCUCUCUCUUGCUAGGAGAGAGACUAAAUUUUUUUAAAGAUGGACAAAGCUCCACAGAGCACAUAUGGAAGGCAGAAGAAAAACCCAGUGAGAAUCAAAACAAUCCUUUCCACUUUCUGAGGACAUAAUGGCAAGAAACUACGAUCUGCUAAGCAAGCCCCGCCAUCCUCUGUUGUGUCUUUGAGUUUCUCAUCUUUCUUCAAGAGCUUCCGCUGCCGCCACCACUUUAAUUGCCUUGGGAACUCCCUUGGUUGGACGUUUGAAGAAGUAGUGGCUACUGAAAAAGCAAUUGUUUAUCUUUCAAAAACAAUUCUGAUCUUAUAAUUAUAUUAUUACAUUA